UAGCUGAGCAACCUUAACCAAGGCGUCUCCAG
rnacentral:piRNA from 1 species